rnacentral:rRNA from 1 species
UACGUAGGUGGCAAGCGUUGUCCGGAAUUAUUGGGCGUAAAGCGCGCGCAGGCGGUUUCUUAAGUCUGAUGUGAAAUCCCCCGGCUUAACCGGGGAGGGUCAUUGGAAACUGGGAGACUUGAGUGCAGAAGAGGAAAGUGGAAUUCCAAGUGUAGCGGUGAAAUGCGUAGAGAUUUGGAGGAACACCAGUGGCGAAGGCGACUUUCUGGUCUGUAACUGACGCUGAGGCGCGAAAGCGUGGGGAGCAAACAGG